AUAUAGUUCAAGCUGUGCAUAUUGGUUCUAUGAAACUUACCCCAAAAUUAUCACUAAAUGAUGUUUUAUAUGCUUCUUGUUUUCAAUUCAAUUGGUUAUCUAUCAGUAAAAUCACUAAAACACUCAAUUGUUUUAUCAUGUUUUUUCAUGGGUAUUGUAUUUUUUAGGACCUGCGGAUGAAGAAGGAGAUUAGACAAUAUACAGAGCAUGAUGGUUUUUAUUAUUUGGAGCCUAAAUCUAAACCUUUUGCUUCUAUUCUCGUCCAUCAAAAUGAAGUCAAUUUAUGGUAUUGGCAUUUAAGACAUCCAGCUUCUGGCUUAUCUCAAGUUUUCUAUUUUAGAUUCUACUAUUUUUCUUUUCAAAUAAAUGCAUUUGCAUCGUGUGCCCA
rnacentral:lncRNA from 1 species